CCCGCACAAGCGGUGGAGUAUGUGGUUUAAUUCGAUGCAACGCGAAGAACCUUACCUGGUCUUGACAUCCCGGAGACCCUUAGGAAACUAGGGGGUGCUUCCAUCUGGAAGAAUCUGGAGACAGGUGCUGCAUGGCUGUCGUCAGCUCGUGUCGUGAGAUGUUGGGUUAAGUCCCGCAACGAGCGCAACCCUUGCCUUUAGUUGCCAGCAGUUCGGCUGGGCACUCUAAAGGGACUGCCGGUGUUAAACCGGAGGAAGGUGGGGAUGACGUCAAGUCCUCAUGGCCUUUAUGACCAGGGCUACACACGUACUACAAUGGCCGAUACAAAGGGCAGCGACACUGCGAGGUGAAGCCAAUCCCGUAAAAUCGGUCUCAGUCCGGAUUGGAGUCUGCAACUCGACUCCAUGAAGUUGGAAUCGCUAGUAAUCGUGAAUCAGAAUGUCACGGUGAAUACGUUCCCGGGCCUU
rnacentral:rRNA from 1 species